AUUCUAACCAAUGAGACUGCUGGAACAGCAUCCAUGAACUGUCAUUCCGGAAUCGACUGGUGACGCAAACAGAUCCUUGGUUCUGCUCUUAUUUAUUGCCAUCUAGUCCUGUUUGAAGAAUUAACUGUGGCUCCAGCCAUUAAGCAGACCUGAACCAGUUAAUGAAGGUCUUCAGGAUCACCAGAAACUACAGGCAGGUGUGUGAGAAAGUUGGAGCUACAUACUGCAGGACGUUGGUCCUCCAUGACCAGGACUGGACACCACUGUUGUCUAAGCCAGCCACAGUGGAUACAGUGAAGCCACAAACACAGUUCAUAGUUCUUGUAUUUCUAUUACAUAUCAAGUAAUAAAAAAGAUCAUGUUAAUAAUUUUUGUCAGAUGUUUAUUUCCAGCUGGGUUUAGUAAAAAAGAUGGUCUUGAUCCAAGUAUAAUUUUGAUUUUAGUUGCAUGUUCUUAAUUCUUUGCAAAACACAACCUGAACAGUUAGCUAUUGAAAAGUUUGUGUGCAGUUUAUAUCAAUUAAAAUUAUAUAUUCUUGAGCGUUUUUUUUUAAGCCACAAGGACAAAACCAGUGUAUAAUUGUUGUAAUAAUUUAAAUUAUUUAAUUAAUCAAUGGCCUAAUUAACAGCUACCAGUUAAACAUACAAAUCAGAACCAAUACAAAAACGGCAAUGGAAACCAUUAAAUAUGUGCAAAUAAAGACCAAUACAAAUUUGUAAUGGAACCAUUAGAACCAAUACAAAAACUG